GAUGAACGCUGGCGGCGUGCCUAAUACAUGCAAGUCGAGCGAACAGAUGAGGAGCUUGCUCCUCUGACGUUAGCGGCGGACGGGUGAGUAACACGUGGAUAACCUACCUAUAAGACUGGGAUAACUUCGGGAAACCGGAGCUAAUACCGGAUAAUAUAUUGAACCGCAUGGUUCAAUAGUGAAAGACGGUUUUGCUGUCACUUAUAGAUGGAUCCGCGCCGCAUUAGCUAGUUGGUAAGGUAACGGCUUACCAAGGCAACGAUGCGUAGCCGACCUGAGAGAGUGAUCGGCCACACUGGAACUGAGACACGGUCCAGACGACUACGGGAGGCAGCAGUAGGGAAUGUUCCGCAAUGGGCGAAAGCUUGACGGAGCAACGCCGCGUGAGUGAUGAAGGUCUUCGGAUCGUAAAACUCUGUUAUUAGGGAAGAACAAAUGUGUAAGUAACUAUGCACGUCUUGACGGUACCUAAUCAGAAAGCCACGGCUAACUACGUG
rnacentral:rRNA from 1 species